rnacentral:rRNA from 1 species
CUACGGGGUGCUGCAGCGAGGAAUAUUGCACAAUGGGGGGAACCCUGAUGCAGCAACGCCGCGUGGAGGAUGACGCAUUUCGGUGUGUAAACUCCUUUUAUAUGUCAAGAAAAUGACGGUAGCAUAUGAAUAAGCACCGGCUAACUCCGUGCCAGCAGCCGCGGUAAUACGGAGGGUGCAAGCGUUACUCGGAAUCACUGGGCGGAAAGGACGCGUAGGCGGGUUGGAAAGUCAGGUGUGAAAUCCUACAGCUUAACUGUAGAACUGCACUUGAAACUUCUAAUCUAGAGUAUGGGAGGGGGAGAUGGAAUUAGUGGUGUAGGGGUAAAAUCCGUAGAUAUCACUAGGAAUACCUAAAGCGAAGGCGAUCUCCUGGAACAUUACUGACGCUAAGGCGUGAAAGCGUGGGGAGCAAACAGGAUUAGAUACCCGCGUAGUC